rnacentral:rRNA from 1 species
UACGUAGGGUGCGAGCGUUGUCCGGAAUCAUUGGGCGUAAAGAGCGCGUAGGCGGCCCGGUAAGUCCGCUGUGAAAGUCUAGGGCUCAACCCUGGGAUGCCGGUGGAUACUGGCGGGCUCGAGUCCGGAAGAGGAGUGUGGAAUUCCUGGUGUAGCGGUGAAAUGCGCAGAUAUCAGGAGGAACACCAAUGGCGAAGGCAGCACUCUGGGACGUGACUGACGCUGAGACGCGAAAGCGUGGGGAGCAAACAGG